rnacentral:rRNA from 1 species
GAGUAAUGCCUGGGAAAUUGCCCAGUCGAGGGGGAUAACAGUUGGAAACGACUGCUAAUACCGCAUACGCCCUACGGGGGAAAGCAGGGGACCUUCGGGCCUUGCGCGAUUGGAUAUGCCCAGGUGGGAUUAGCUAGUUGGUGAGGUAAUGGCUCACCAAGGCGACGAUCCCUAGCUGGUCUGAGAGGAUGAUCAGCCACACUGGAACUGAGACACGGUCCAGACUCCUACGGGAGGCAGCAGUGGGGAAUAUUGCACAAUGGGGGAAACCCUGAUGCAGCCAUGGGGGCAGGGUGUGAAGAAGGC